AUUGAACGCUGGCGGCAUGCCUUACACAUGCAAGUCGAACGGUAACAGGUCUUCGGAUGCUGACGAGUGGCGAACGGGUGAGUAAUACAUCGGAACGUGCCCGAUUGUGGGGGAUAACGAAGCGAAAGCUUUGCUAAUACCGCAUAAGAUCUACGGAUGAAAGCGGGGGACCGCAAGGCCUUGCGCGAACGGGGCGGCCGAUGGCAGAUUAGGUAGUUGGUGGGAUAAAAGCUUACCAAGCCGACGAUCUGUAGCUGGUCUGAGAGGACGACCAGCCACACUGGGACGGAGACACGGCCCAGACUCCUACGGGAGGCAGCGGUGGGGAAUUUUGGACAAUGGGCGAAAGCCUGAUCCAGCCAUGCCGCGUGCAGGAUGAAGGCCUUCGGGUUGUAAACUGCUUUUGUACGGAACGAAAAGACUCUUUCUAAUAAAGAGGGUCCAUGACGGUACCGUAAGAAUAAGCACCGGCUAACUACGUGCCAGCAGCCGCAGUAA
rnacentral:rRNA from 1 species